GCGACGCUGAGAGCCAAGCUCCGGGAAGCAGCUCCCCCGUCGUUGGGCGUGAUUCCUCCCCCACUAAGGCCCCCGGGCAAACUCGCUCCCAGCGACGGAGGAAGGACACGUUUCCGUUCAGCUGACCGGGGUGGGACCGGAGCAGGGUGCCGUGGAGCUCAGCCGCAGGAGGAGCGGUGACCUGUGAGACAUCUUUGACAGUGACUUCUGCUGAGUUCCAGGCACAAUGUAAAAGAAAAAGCUGAUUUUGAAGAAACUGAGGUGCCAAACAAAUCAAAAGUAAAGUCCCAAAGAAAAACCCUUCAGAGACUGAUGGACUGUUUCCAUUUUUUAAACGAUUAAAAACUGGAAUGUUUUCAGAUA